rnacentral:rRNA from 1 species
CAAUAGCGUAUAUUUAAGUUGCUGCAGUUAAAAAGCUCGUAGUUGGAUUUCGGGUGGGAAUGGCCGGUCCGCCGUUUCGGUGUGCACUUGCUACGCCCACCUUGCUGCCGGGGACGUGCUCUUGAGUUCACGCUCGGGACACGGAGUCGGCGAGGUUACUUUGAGUAAAUUAGAGUGUUCAAAGCAGGCCUACGCUCUGAAUACAUUAGCAUGGAAUAACACGAUAGGACUCUGGCCUAUCUUGUUGGUCUGUAGGACCGGAGUAAUGAUUAAGAGGGACAGUCGGGGGCAUUCGUAUUUCAUUGUCAGAGGUGAAAUUCUUGGAUUUAUGAAAGACGAACUACUGCGAAAGCAUUUGCCAAGGAUGUUUUCAUCGA